ACAUAUAAAUUACUAUUCUGUUAAUGUGUAUGUAUACAUUAUUGGUAAGAUAAACUAAUGAAAUAGAAGAAAACUUAAAAAGCAGUCAAUCAUUGAUUUCUCUCCAGAUUCUGUUUACUUAUUUAAACAUCUAAUUACUUUUCCAAAUAGAAACAGUCACUUAGAUACAAACUAGUCAAUGAGCAACAUGAAACAGGAAAUUUUUAGUACUUUUUAGACACUUAUUUUAUUUUACUUAAUGAUAAAUGAUUUCUGUAAGAAAUGCUUAGGAAGAGAAUAACAUUUAAAGAAUAGAUACAUUUUACAACAACAUAUUAUUAUCACUAUUGGAUAUUAGGUUUCUUUUGUCAUUAUAUUUAGCAGUUGGCCAACCUUUUCUUCCUCCUGUUAUCUCUGAAACUCAGCCAGAUUCUCUUCUUUGAUUCCUAUGCAGAGCUCAUUACCAGCCAAGUAAGAAAGGAUUCAAGUAAUGUUAGCCCUGAAAUUAGAUAAGUCUACUGUAGAAAUUUUUUGUGAGAUAGGAAGUCAUGGACAUCUGAAAUAAUAACUUCAAAAGGCUUAUAG
rnacentral:lncRNA from 1 species